UACGUAGGUGGCAAGCGUUGUCCGGAUUUACUGGGCGUAAAGAGCGCGCAGGCGGUCGUAUAAGUCGAAUGUGAAAGCCCCCGGCUCAACUGGGGAGAGUCAUUCGAUACUGUUCGACUCGAAGGCAGGAGAGGGAAGUGGAAUUCCGGGUGUAGUGGUGAAAUGCGUAGAUAUCCGGAGGAACACCAGUGGCGAAGGCGGCUCACUGGCUCAUUUCUGACGCUCAGGCGCGACAGCGUGGGGAUCGAAACAGG
rnacentral:rRNA from 1 species